rnacentral:rRNA from 1 species
GUGUCAGCAGCCGCGGUAAUACAGAGGGUGCGAGCGUUGUUCGGAAUUAUUGGGCGUAAAGCGCAUGUAGGCGGUCUGUUAAGUCGCGUGUGAAAUCCCCAGGCUCAACCUGGGAAGUGCGCGCGAAACUGGCGGACUUGAGUGCCGGAGAGGGUGGCGGAAUUCCCGGUGUAGAGGUGAAAUUCGUAGAUAUCGGGAGGAACACCAGAGGCGAAGGCGGCCACCUGGACGAACACUGACGCUGAGACGCGAAAGCGUGGGGAGCAAACAGGAUUAGAAACCCGAGUAGUCC